rnacentral:rRNA from 1 species
AUUGAACGCUGGCGGAAUGCUUUACACAUGCAAGUCGAGCGGCAGCGCGGCCUUCGGGCUGGCGGCGAGCGGCGAACGGGUGAGUAAUGCAUCGGAACAUGCCCAGUCGUGGGGGAUAACACUUCGAAAGAAGUGCUAAUACCGUAUACGUCCUGAGGGGGAAAGCGGGGGAUCGCAAGACCUCGCGCGAUUGGAGUGGCCGAUGUCAGAUUAGCUAGUUGGUGGGGUAAAGGCCUACCAAGGCGACGAUCUGUAGCUGGUCUGAGAGGAUGAUCAGCCACACUGGGACUGAGACACGGCCCAGACUCCUACGGGAGGCAGCAGUGGGGAAUUUUGGACAAUGGGGGCAACCCUGAUCCAGCCAUUCCGCGUGAGUGAAGAAGGCCUUCGGGUUGUAAAGCUCUUUCGGCAGGAACGAAACGGUGGGCUCUAACAUAGUCCGCUAAUGACGGUGCCUGAAGAAGAAGCACCGGCUAACUACGUG